AAUAAAUCAACUUUUCAGUUUUUAGGUAUAAUGUUUAACUCUUCAUCUUAUUAAAAAAAUUUUACGAUUCAUAAUUUUAUUUUUAUUAGAUGAUAAAACAUAAAUAGUAUUUUAUGUGUGACUAAUUUUUUUAAAAUUUUUUAAAAUUUUUCAAAUAAGACGGAUGAUCAAAUGCUCGACACAAAAAUC
rnacentral:pre_miRNA from 1 species